rnacentral:sRNA from 1 species
GGGAAGGGUCUUAGGACCCAGGAAGGAGACCGGUGCCUCCCGGAGAGGACCCCAUCCCCUCCGAGGUCCGGGCGGCCCCCGGCCUCUCCCUGGGGUGCCGUAGCCCCCCUCGACCCGCCUUCCCGCAGCCGCAGUCGUUCGGGCCUGGAGGUGGCCGGGCAUCGGUGCUGACGCCGCGAGGGCAGCGCCCGCGGCGGGAAUGCUAAUGCACCCUAAAGGGCACGGCCGCCGCCGCAGCAGCAGAUACUUUCUGAGUGCCUACUAUGUGCCAGCCUGUGCUAGGCACUGAGGACACAGGUGGAAAAGCCCGAAUUGCUCCCUGCUCUCCUGGCGCUCAUCACCCCGGAGAGUUAUGUCAUGCCCAGGCCAGCAGGGGGCUCCAUGAGGAUUCAUAGAAGAUGCCCCGCGUCUCGGCGCCUUUGGUGCUGCUUCCUGCGUGGCUCGUGAUGGUCGCCUGCAGCCCGCACUCCUUGAGGAUCGCUGCUAUCUUGGACGACCCCAUGGAGUGCAGCAGAGGGGAGCGGCUCUCCAUCACCCUGGCCAAGAACCGCAUCAACCGCGCUCCUGAGAGGCUGGGCAAGGCCAAGGUCGAAGUGGACAUCUUUGAGCUUCUCAGAGACAGCGAGUAUGAGACUGCAGAAACCAUGUGUCAGAUCCUCCCCAAGGGGGUGGUCGCUGUCCUCGGGCCAUCGUCCAGCCCAGCCUCCAGCUCCAUCAUCAGCAACAUCUGUGGAGAGAAGGAGGUGCCUCACUUCAAAGUGGCCCCAGAGGAGUUCGUCAAGUUCCAGUUCCAGAGAUUCACAACCCUGAACCUCCACCCCAGCAACACCGACAUCAGCGUGGCUGUAGCUGGGAUCCUGAACUUCUUCAACUGCACUACCGCCUGCCUCAUCUGUGCCAAAGCAGAAUGCCUUUUAAACCUAGAGAAGCUGCUCCGGCAAUUUCUUAUCUCCAAGGACACGCUGUCCGUCCGCAUGCUGGAUGACACCCGGGACCCCACCCCGCUCCUCAAGGAGAUCCGGGACGACAAGACCGCCACCAUCAUCAUCCACGCCAACGCCUCCAUGUCCCACACCAUCCUCCUGAAGGCAGCCGAACUUGGGAUGGCGUCAGCCUAUUACACAUACAUCUUCACUAAUCUGGAGUUCUCACUCCAGAGAAUGGACAGCCUUGUGGAUGAUCGUGUCAACAUCCUGGGAUUUUCCAUUUUCAACCAAUCCCAUGCUUUCUUCCAAGAGUUUGCCCAGAGCCUCAACCAGUCCUGGCAGGAGAACUGUGACCAUGUGCCCUUCACUGGGCCUGCGCUCUCCUCGGCCCUGCUGUUUGAUGCUGUCUAUGCUGUGCUGACUGCGGUGCAGGAACUGAACCGGAGCCAAGAGAUCGGCGUGAAGCCCCUGUCCUGCGGCUCGGCCCAGAUCUGGCAGCACGGCACCAGUCUCAUGAACUACCUGCGCAUGGUAGAAUUGGAAGGUCUUACCGGCCACAUUGAAUUCAACAGCAAAGGCCAGAGGUCCAACUAUGCCUUGAAAAUCUUACAGUUCACAAGGAAUGGUUUUCGGCAGAUCGGCCAGUGGCACGUGGCAGAGGGCCUCAGCAUGGACAGCCACCUCUAUGCAUCCAACAUCUCAGACACUCUCUUCAACACCACCCUGGUCGUCACCACCAUCCUGGAAAACCCAUAUUUAAUGCUGAAGGGGAACCACCAGGAGAUGGAAGGCAAUGACCGCUACGAGGGCUUCUGUGUGGACAUGCUCAAGGAGCUGGCAGAGAUCCUCCGAUUCAACUACAAGAUCCGCCUGGUUGGGGAUGGCGUGUACGGCGUUCCCGAGGCCAACGGCACCUGGACGGGAAUGGUCGGGGAGCUGAUCGCUAGGAAAGCAGAUCUGGCUGUGGCAGGCCUCACCAUUACAGCUGAACGGGAGAAGGUGAUUGAUUUCUCUAAGCCAUUCAUGACUCUGGGAAUUAGCAUUCUUUACCGCGUUCAUAUGGGACGCAAACCCGGCUAUUUCUCCUUCCUGGACCCAUUUUCUCCGGGCGUCUGGCUCUUCAUGCUUCUAGCCUAUCUGGCCGUCAGCUGUGUCCUCUUCCUGGUGGCCCGGUUGACGCCCUACGAGUGGUACAGCCCACACCCAUGUGCCCAGGGCCGGUGCAACCUCCUGGUGAACCAGUACUCCCUGGGCAACAGCCUCUGGUUUCCGGUCGGGGGGUUCAUGCAGCAGGGCUCCACCAUCGCCCCUCGCGCCUUAUCCACCCGCUGUGUCAGUGGCGUCUGGUGGGCAUUCACGCUGAUCAUCAUCUCAUCCUACACGGCCAACCUGGCAGCCUUCCUGACCGUGCAGCGCAUGGAUGUGCCCAUUGAGUCAGUGGAUGACCUGGCUGACCAGACCGCCAUUGAAUAUGGCACAAUUCACGGAGGCUCCAGCAUGACCUUCUUCCAAAAUUCCCGCUACCAGACCUACCAACGCAUGUGGAAUUACAUGUAUUCCAAGCAGCCCAGCGUGUUCGUGAAGAGCACAGAGGAGGGAAUCGCCAGGGUGUUGAAUUCCAACUACGCCUUCCUCCUGGAAUCCACCAUGAACGAGUACUAUCGGCAGCGAAACUGCAACCUCACUCAGAUUGGGGGCCUGCUGGACACCAAGGGCUAUGGGAUUGGCAUGCCAGUCGGUAGGCGGGAGAGGAACAGCCUCUUGGGGUAGCUUUGUCCAGACAGGGUCAGGGUAGUUCAAACCACUGAAUGCAGCAUUGAAUCCAGUACCCCCUGUUGUUAGAACCAGUUUAACAGUGACUUUAGGUGGGCAUUCUAAAGUUUUUUUUUUUUUUUAAAGCAAACACACAUAUUUCCUUUAAUCAAUGACCAGUGCUCAAUCCUUGAUUAUUAAAGAGCUAGUUGAUUAGUUACUGAUUGAUUAAUUGACUAAUUUAAAGGGCUAAUAGUAAUUAUUAAAGGGCAUGUUAAUGUC